UUAUACCAACCAAACUUAAAGUGUGCCACAAUCAAUAUAUACAUACAUACAUACAUACAUACAUACAUGGUUCACUGUUGUAGAUUUUCAUUUUAUUUUCUUUCUUUCCUCUGGUGCAAAAGACUCGCCACGACUGUGGAAUCUGCGAUUAGAGCUCUGAAGUGAAAUCCGCUAGAGAGAGAGAGGAGAGAGAGAGAGAGAGAGACAUCAUGAACAAGGGAAGCUUAGGCGCGAAACUCAGGCUCUCUGUGCCUCGCGAUGAGGUUUCUUUCUCCAAGUUCCUGACGGAGAGCGGAACGUUUAAGGACGGAGAUCUGCUCGUCAACAGGGACGGAGUUCGGAUUGUCUCACAGAGCGAAGUUGAAGUCCCGCCGCCGAUUCAGCCGACGGAUAAUCAGUUGAGCUUAGCAGACAUAGACACCAUUAAAGUAAUUGGAAAAGGAAGUGGGGGAAUUGUGCAAUUGGUACGCCACAAAUGGACUAGUCAGUUCUUUGCGCUUAAGGUAAUUCAAAUGAACAUAGAAGAGUCUUAUAGAAAGCAGAUUGCGCAGGAGUUGAAGAUUAAUCAAUCGUCACAAUGCCCUUACAUUGUCAUUUGCUAUCAGUCCUUUUAUGAUAAUGGUACCAUUUCCAUCAUCUUAGAGUACAUGGAUGGUGGAUCUCUAGCAGAUUUUCUGAAAAAAGUGAAGACUGUUCCAGAGCCAUAUCUUGCUUCCAUUUGUAAGCAGGUGCUCAAGGGUUUAAUGUAUCUUCAUCAUGAAAAACACAUUAUCCACAGAGACUUAAAACCUUCAAAUUUGCUAAUAAACCAUAGAGGAGAAGUCAAGAUCACCGAUUUUGGUGUGAGUGCAAUAAUGGAAAGCACAUCUGGUCAGGCAAAUACUUUUCUUGGCACCUACAACUAUAUGUCUCCAGAGAGAAUUACUGGAGCCGCAUAUGGUUCCAAAAGUGACAUUUGGAGUCUGGGACUAGUAUUGCUUGAGUGUGCGACUGGGAAAUUCCCCUAUAAACCACCAGAAGAAAGUGAAGGAUGGGUAAACUUCUUUGAGCUUAUGGACACUGUUGUUAGCCAACCACCACCCUGUGCAUCUCCUGAUCACUUUUCUCCGGAGUUCUGCUCAUUUAUUUCUGCAUGUGUACAGAAAGAUCCCAAAGAUAGACAGUCUGCACAUCAACUUAUGAUGCAUCCUUUCAUUACCAUGUAUGAAGACUUGGAUGUUGAUCUUUCAUCUUACUUCACCAAUGUGGGAUCUCCACUUGCAACUUUCGAUCUCCCCCUGCUAAAAAUAACGGCUUGAUUGAUAGCUUCAGCUGAUGCGUACGCUUUCACCCUGGUCAGUUCCAGGAUCAUAGUUCCGGUGAUGAAUGAGACUGAAGUUAUAGCGACGUGACUUUUAAAAACUUGAUGAACUGAGUUCCAACUGUAAGCAUGACGGAAAUAAAGAAGUCCCAAGCUGUCAUUACACUGGCAAGGAUUGCUGUAAUAUUAAGUGUUGGUCCAUCACGAAGAAUUCGAACGCCUUAGAUUUUUUUCAUGGAGGAGUAGCUUUCUGUAAAUCGAGAUUUUUGUGAUAGCAUGUUACUGUUUUGUAGUGCAGCAUGAUGAACCAAGGAAUAUGAUUUAUUGUAUUAACCUAAAAGAUCUCUUACCAAGUUGGCCAAAGGCACUCCAAAAGGUUUUCUACUUGAGUUGCAAAUGCAUUCCUUUAUACUUUCAGAUUAUUGUGUUAAAGAAGCUGCAUCGUCCGUCUAAA